rnacentral:rRNA from 1 species
UACGUAGGGGGCAAGCGUUGUCCGGAUUUAUUGGGCGGAAAAGGCUUGUAGGUGGCCACGCCAAGUCGGAUGUGAAAUCUCCCGGCUCAACUGGGAGGGGUCAUUCGAUACUGGCGGGCUCGAGGCCGGUAGGGGGAAGUGGAAUUCCCGGUGUAGUGGUGAAAUGCGUAGAUAUCGGGAGGAACACCAGUGGCGAAGGCGACUACCUGGCCUGUUUCUUGACGCUGAGGCGCGAAAGCUAGGGGAGCAAACGGG